CUUGUACUCCCUCCGUCCGAAAAUACUUGUCAUUGAAAUGGAUGUAUCUAGAUGUAUUUUAGUUGUAGACACAUCCAUUUUGAUGACAAGUAAUUCCGGACGAAGGGAGUACUUG
rnacentral:pre_miRNA from 1 species